CAGCCCCGAUGAUGGCAGCACUGGGCUCUGAGCGCUGUGAAGACGUCGGUGCCCCCUGGGCCUUUGACUCCCAGGGGUCUGAGGGGCUG
ensembl:snoRNA